UGGAAGGGCCAUCGCUCAACGGAUAAAAGGUACUCCGGGGAUAACAGGCUGAUACCGCCCAAGAGUUCAUAUCGACGGCGGUGUUUGGCACCUCGAUGUCGGCUCAUCACAUCCUGGGGCUGAAGUAGGUCCCAAGGGUAUGGCUGUUCGCCAUUUAAAGUGGUACGCGAGCUGGGUUUAGAACGUCGUGAGACAGUUCGGUCCCUAUCUGCCGUGGGCGCUGGAGAACUGAGGGGGGCUGCUCCUAGUACGAGAGGACCGGAGUGGACGCAUCACUGGUGUUCGGGUUGUCAUGCCAAUGGCA
rnacentral:rRNA from 2 species